CUCUAGAGACUAGAAGGCACUAGUUACAGGGAAGGGUAGGUCUUGCUCCCGAUCGACCGAGGAUUGACAGGUUCUGAAAAGCUGAAGCACUAUAUGAGCUCCUGAAGGACUGAGUCUGAAAAUCUGCAGUACCACAUUAUUUGGUCCAUUCCUUUGCUGAGAUGUUAGCAUGUUGCUGAUUUUACAACCAUGAUACAGAAUGAACUUUUGUAUCGGUGUGGAACCGGUUUUAUCAACUCGUUCAUAGUUGACACGCUUGGUGUACCAAACUUUCCUACGUGGUCGAAGAUGGCACCCAAAAUAUUGCUGUUCUGUGUCGGUGCCAUCACACCGAAACGGUUGGCUAUAUGAUAGACGUCCUCUACGAUGGUAAACUGCUAACCCUAUCCUCGUUUUACGCCCGGGUAUAAGACGUCCAGAAAGUGACACAACGAAGUUUGAUCGCGAUUUUUGAGUUUGAUCGCGAUCAGUUAAUUAUUAAUAUUAAUUCAUUAAUUGAUUUUUAAGGUUCAAUUAAUGACUUUCUUGGACUUUGUGAAGGUAAUAAGCAUAUGAAAAGUACUACUAACAGGCAUUUAAAACUGUGCAGAACCAUUGUUUUGGUAGCAAAGAAUUCUAACAUCAGAAAAAAGAAUUAGCUUACUUGCUAUUGUUAUUGUAAAAUUCCCUUUAGAUUCUAUGCUAGUAUCUAUUCGGGUCUUAUCUUUAUCACCUCAUCGAUAGAAAUUUAAUUUUAAAUCCUAAUAACGAAGUUAGAUUUUCAUAGUUUGAAUAAUGAUCCCACAAUUCAAUACCUUGAGAGAACUGUGAUUAGAAACAUAGAUAAAUCCAGAUAUACCAACAGUGACAGUCCUUGGCAAGGCGGAUCGAUUGCAUUUGAACAGCCUGUAACUUCUGUAAGGAAUGGUACCAUGAAGGUUGCAUAGAUAACACUAUGGAGGAUCCAUGCUGCACUAGAAAGUUUUUCUAUGCACCAAAUAUAAAUCUGUAUUGCAUUUGCCAUUUCAAUGAAAAAUUGGUACAACAAUAGAAAUGCAGGCAAAGGGAUCAUAGCUUAACUUUCAAAUACAAACAGAAAAAAAAACUGGAAAAUGUGAGAAGAUAACUGCAGCAAGUGUGACUCGUCGAGGAAAACCAUGUUAGCAGUGCCAGUACCGAGUCUGUUUCACUUUUUCCCACAAGCCGAGCCUGCGAUAAGAAAACCCCUGAUCCAGCUAGUCAGCCAUCUCGAUAUUCGACAAACCAAAAGAAUUGGCAAAAAGACGACAUCAUACUUUUCCUACUUCUGAGGACAACUGUCGCCGAAAGAGAAUACCCCGUCUACAGAUUCGGAAGGUGAAAGUGAGAUCGAAAACUCUGCAGCAACGAAGUGUGUAAGAAGUUGUUAGGCAGAUUGUCUGGCACACAAGGACUAAAAGUCAAUUCAAUAAAUUGCUUCGACACAUGUUACAUACCCAUUCGCUUAAAACGAUUUUAGCUAAUCCGCUGUUAUAGACCACAAUGUGUAAAUGCGUCGGUACCGUGGAGUAAAUACUGCAGUAACCAGAACGGAAAAAAAAAUUGGCGCCAACUCGUAUAUAUCAGAUUUUGGCGCAACGCAUUCAAGAAUGGGGCCCAACACCUUGCAGAGCUGAAGAAAAUUAUAAGAAAGAAUUAGUACAAUUUGUAGAGAGCAAAACAAAUCACGGGAAGGUUUUCUACUUGUGGUGAUGUGUUUCUUGUUCUAGUGCCCAAAGGGAACUAGAUAACCACAGCAAAGGCUAAUAAAUUUAUGGUUGAUAUAAACUAUGACGACGAAGCAGAUAUGGCAGGCGAAAGCGAAACGAUUGCGCUGCUGUCGUUCGUUACUUGCGGCAUCGGUAUUACGGUCAGUAAAGCAUCCGACACAUAGAGGGAUGAUUCAACAAAUACGAAAAACAAACGGCCUUCGGUUCAGUCUUUCAAACCAAAAUAGAAUGCAGUAAUAUACUACGCGGCGUUUAGAAUCUCAGUAACCGAAUAUACUGGAGGCUAUUUCGUGCUUCAAGUCCAAGGGCAUUGCAAAAAUCCUAAGGUAAAAAAAAACUGAUGUAUAUCGGUAUCCUGUAGUACGAGAAGUCUUUGAAGAGGAAAGAGUAAGCCAGUGGCUUAAACUUAAUAAGUUAUUCGAAAAGAAAGACUGAUUUGGACUGUUAUGGCUCAGCGAACGUGAAUUUUGCCACUUAUACUUCAUUCGCGUUCAACUAUGAAUUCCUGCAGCAUCAAGGAGAAUUCAUCAAGGAAUUCCUCGGGACACAAUGAGGACAAUGCAGAAACCGACAAAACAAUCGCAACCAAUAAAUAAGCCAUCAAUGAAGAUGAUUUGUUGAACAUCAUAGGCUCACAGCUCCAAGAUACCGAAAAUUUAACAUGUACAUAUGCUAUUGGUCGUGCUUUUUUACUAUUUACUGUCUAAUUCGGCCGCCAAUUGAUUUUCUGGUGUAACCUUUCGAUUGACUUUUUCUCCCUCGCUCUACGCUUUUAAAAACGUUCGUAUUUUUGUGUUAUAAAUCACAAAACUAGAUGGCGCUGAUGUGCUUCAGUAUUUUGCCGUGCUUGACGUGUGAAACCGUGUUCCAAUAUUUGUUAACUGUUAUACAUUCUUAUUGAAAAGGGAGAUUAAAUCGAAUGAUUUGAUGUCUACUGUUCAGUGUUUUCAUUCUUUAGUGUGUUGUUUAAGUGAAACACAUUAACUGGAUUAUUUUUGUGUGGAAUGAGUGAUCUUGUGAUCAGCUAUGCCAGCUGACAAAUCCAAAAUCUAUUACAUUUGCUUUCCAUCAUGCAAAUCUAUUACUCAUUGUGAGGAUGCUGAACGAACAGAAAGUUUACAAAUGACACAAAAAUCACAUGGGUUGGAAUACCAUCACCUCAUUCUGCUACUCUUUAUCGGUUCAUCAUAUCCUGUCAGUGCUGUACUGACAAGUGCAACAUAUGUUGUGUUACCAACUGGAUGGAUUGGAAUACCUCACAUCAUUCAUAUACUCUUUGCUUGCUCAUCUCAUCCGACACAUAUCUUCGCCUCGCCCGUCGCCCCUUUCUCGCUUCACCCGCCAACACAUGUCUUCGCCUUGUCCGUCACUCCGUCUUCGCCUUGUCCGUCUUCGCCUCGCCUGUCACCGCGUCUUCGCCUCGCCUGUCACCCCGUCUUCGCCUCGCCUGUCACCCCGUCUUCGCUUCGCACGUCGCUCCGUCAUCGCCUCUUAGUCGCCCCGUCAUCUUCUUUGUCAUCAUCAUCAUCUUUGUGGUAUCGUUGUAUUUUGUAAUGUGCAAUUAUGUAGUGUUAAUUAACCCGUUGGCUGCCACCCACUUUGAUCCCCUUUUUUUUUAAAGCUUGUUAGGGUCCGGCAGCGCUGUUCUGCCCAAUGGUCUAUAUGCCAUGGGUGGGACAGUUGCACAAGCCGUGUGGCUCAAAGUCGAUCGUCGAGGCAAUGCACCAGUAGGGACUUCCCUCUUCUAGAUGUGGUGGUGGUUGCCUGGGGUGUGCAUUCCCAUAACGGCUUCCAUCAUCAUAUCAGCCCGGACUUGUCUUCGGACAGGUCUCCCUUGGUCGCUAUCCUUUCGAUAGUGAUGUAGCUAGUGUAGAUUUAGUGGCGUGGCAGCCAACGGGUUAGUUUUAUUUAUGUAUGUUUUGU
rnacentral:lncRNA from 1 species